CCCCGUCCACGCUCGCCCAAUGGGCAGGAGGGAUGUUGUCAGGGAGUGGGCGGAGCCCAGGGCGUGUAGCUCGGGAGCUGAGCGAGAGAAGUGGAGGGCAGGGCAACCAAUGCCGGCUGCUGCCACAGCACCCCCUGUAGGGCCGAAUGAGCGGCGUCCGUCCCGCAGCCCUCAGAGGUGAACCGCAGCUUCCUUCAACAAAGAUUAAGCGACUCUGCGAUAGGCGCUGCAGAUACGAGGAAGGAGUCGACAGGGCCUAGCUGUCACACAGCUUGGUGAAGAAGCCAGGGGACAUAAACACAAGAGUGCAACGGAAAACUUUAUAUGAUAAACAUUUAUGUCGGGUUAGUGAAGCGCGAAGGAAGAACGAUCACUUGUGGGUGGGCGGAGGCUCACAGAAGCGGCGCAAGCUCAACAGGUGGGCAAGGAAGAGCAGAACGCGUAGACCCAUUUUAGAUCUGCAGUGUAUGUCAGAUGACUGGUGUUUAGGAGAUGAGGAAGAAGCCAUAUAAUCACUUAUGCAAGGAUAAGAAAUCUGAUCCUCCAAGCAGGAGGAUCGCUUGAGCCCAGGAGUUCGAGGCUGCAGUGAGCCAUGAUCACGCUACGCAACCCAGCUUGGGCAUCAGAGCAAGACACUCGCAAAAGUGAAAAAAAAAAUAAAGAAGAUGGCCUGAAGGGGACACCAGGUCGAGCAUGUGGAUAACUGAGAGAUGAUGAAAAAGGCAGGCACUCUGGGCUGACUUUCAUUAUAAAUAGUAGGUACAGCUGUGGUACUGUUUUGCCUCCAUGCAAUUCUCCAUGUUUUUCAUGUUAUUUAGUUCCUGAUUACUAAAGCUUUGAGGCCCCAGAGGAGGCUGGUGAUUUCCUUUAGAAAGAGGAACUGGGAGCAGCAAGAAUCACAGUGAGAUAUGCUAAGCUUUUCAGAGGAAAAGUUCAUGGAUGAUGCAUUCGACAUGAUGAGCGCAAACAUUUCCCAGCGCAGACCCAGGUCCUUCCGGUCUGAAGGAGCUGAGUUCCCAGCUCCUGUGAGCCUGACUGACUGUGUCUCAGGGCUUCUGUAAGGCAGGUCCUGCAUAUAGUGUAAGCUUAUAAAUGGAAGUGAGUGAGGGGAUGGCAGGUGUGAUGGGGAAUGCCAGCCUUGCUGUUUGCUCACAAUCAUGAGGAGUUUACACUUGUCUGGGAGACUUCUUGGCAAGGUUGCAGAGCUCACCACUAAGAUUAAGGGCCGGCUGGCCAGGCAACAGUAGAGGGGAGGAGGAAGUUUGCAACAGGGCAAGCAGGCAGCAUUUGGGCCUGUUUGGGAGACUGGCCAACACUAACGGGAUUACCAUCCGCUGCCCUGAUAUCUGCCAGGAAAUUGUGAAAUGAAAUUUCAAGGACCCUACCACAGAGUCAGAGAGUAUGUGGGAUGACUCGACUGAAAGCAAGAAUCCUUGGGGAAAAAGGUCCAGUUUCCUGGUGUUCCAUUUGCCUCUUUGCAGGACAGAAGCUCUGCCAAUUCCCUGGCUCUCUUCUCAGCCUCUCCCAGGCCUCUGACAACCCUAGACUCUAAGGUUGAGGAGGGAACUACCUCGGAGACUUUUAUCCAACUCUCUCAAUAAAUGGAGGAAAACAGCU